rnacentral:rRNA from 1 species
GUAGGGAAUAUUGCACAAUGGGGGAAACCCUGAUGCAGCCAUGCCGCGUGUGUGAAGAAGGCCUUUGGGUUGUAAAGCACUUUCAGUAUGGAGGAAGUGCAGUAUGUUAACAGCAUGCUGCAUUGACGUUACAUACAGAAGAAGCACCGGCUAACUCCGUGCCAGCAGCCGCGGUAAUACGGAGGGUGCGAGCGUUAAUCGGAAUAACUGGGCGUAAAGAGCUCGUAGGCGGUUUGUCAAGUCAGAUGUGAAAGCCCCGGGCUUAACCUGGGAACCGCAUUUGAAACUGACAGACUAGAGUACUGUAGAGGGAGGUAGAAUUCCAGGUGUAGCGGUGAAAUGCGUAGAUAUCUGGAGGAAUACCGGUGGCGAAGGCGGCCUCCUGGACAGAGACUGACGCUGAGGAGCGAAAGCGUGGGGAGCAAACAGG